UCUGUCACUGACGNUGAGGCUCGAAAGCGUGGGUAGCGAACAGGAUUAGAUACCCUGGUAGUCCACGCCGUAAACGAUGAGUGCUAGGUGUUAGGCCCUUUCCGGGGCUUAGUGCCGGAGCUAACGCAAUAAGCACUCCGCCUGGGGAGUACGACCGCAAGGUUGAAACUCAAAGGAAUUGACGGGGGCCCGCACAAGCGGUGGAGCAUGUGGUUUAAUUCGAAGCAACGCGAAGAACCUUACCAGGUCUUGACAUCCCGAUGCUAUUCUUAGAGAUAGGAAGUUACUUCGGUACAUCGGAGACAGGUGGUGCAUGGUUGUCGUCAGCUCGUGUCGUGAGAUGUUGGGUUAAGUCCCGCAACGAGCGCAACCCUUAUUGUUAGUUGCCAUCAUUAAGUUGGGCACUCUAGCGAGACUGCCGGUAAUAAACCGGAGGAAGGUGGGGAUGACGUCAAAUCAUCAUGCCCCUUAUGACCUGGGCUACACACGUGCUACAAUGGUCGGUACAACGAGUUGCGAGCCGGUGACGGCAAGCUAAUCUCUGAAAGCCGAUCUCAGUUCGGAUUGGAGGCUGCAACUCGCCUCCAUGAAGUCGGAAUCGCUAGUAAUCGCGGAUCAGCACGCCGCGGUGAAUACGUUCCCGGGCCUUGUACACACCGCCCGUCACACCACGAGAGUUUGUAACACCCGAAGUCG
rnacentral:rRNA from 1 species